AGUCGCCGCGGGAAUACGGAGGGUGCAAGCGUUAAUCGGAAUUACUGGGCGUAAAGCGCACGCAGGCGGUCUGACAAGUCAGAUGUGAAAUCCCCGGGCUUAACCUGGGAACUGCAUUUGAAACUGUCAGGCUGGAGUCUUGUAGAGGGGGGUGGAAUUCCAGGUGUAGCGGUGAAAUGCGUAGAGAUCUGGAGGAAUACCGGUGGCGAAGGCGGCCCCCUGGACAAAGACUGACGCUCAGGUGCGAAAGCGUGGGGAGCAAACAGGAUUAGAUACCCGUGUAGUCCCUGUCUCUUAUACA
rnacentral:rRNA from 1 species